AGCUUAUAAACCCGAUGAGAUGGUUAUGAGCAUGAGGGAUGUAAAGAUGUGGCAUCCAGCAAACUCACCUUUGCACUUGCAAGGACUAUGACCUGCCUCUGCCCUGCUAAGUGAAGUGGAUCUUGUGCCUGGAUCUAUAAGAGUUCACUGGGAGCGUGAGGCUGCAGCCUCAAUAGCAAGUGAUGCUCUCACACAGCCAGAGGAAAUCAUACUGGAAACUGUCUCUGUUGCUGACGCCUCAUGACUGGACCUGGGAGCAGGGACUAACCCAGGUCCCGUCUUCAAACCCAGCAUAAACAGGAACGUAAGAAAUGAACACACCUUCAGAAGAUGGAGUGGAAGAUAAAAGAGAAGGAGUGAAGUCGUGGACGAUAUAUGUUUGCUAUUGCACAGAGAGAUGGGGAACCAACCAGCCACGAGGAAUAGCAUGACGAAUUGGAGCCAGCUCGGCAGGUUGCACGCUGGCAAUGCCUCAAGGACAAGAAACAAAUGAUCCACUGCUGUGUUUGUAAUAGGAUGGAGGGUAAAAGAUGGCAGGCAAGGAGAGACGGUCCCGCGGCUGGAAGGAGCAAGAGGGAGAUGCUGGUGGAGAUGUGAAAAUCCACCCAUUGGGUUAGGCUUUGGAGAACAUUACUCCUUCAUUUUUUCCUGUCUGGUUUGCUGUCCUGGGGGAGUAGUUGAGGUUCUGGGCAUACACGGAGUGGGAUAGAAAGUAACAGGGGGGAAAGGAUGGAUGGGAAAAUAGGGCUAAAGACUCGAGGAGCAGGGAGAGGCUGCUGAGCUGUGGGACGUGAGGUUUCUUCUUAAAGUACCUUGGAGAUUCGCAGGGAAAAGGAAGGCUGAGAACAGGAGAAGGGACAGAAGACAUCAGAUGGACAUCAGAUGGGACACGGCAGUUUGUGCAUGAGGUGUCAGGGAACCUCAGUGUUACGGACCACAAGCGAAGCUAUAGGGAGAUGGGCAAAAAAAUAACACUACCUCAGGACCUGUACUAGUCAUGGCAGCUGUCACAGAUGUAUAUCAAAAGCUCCCACAAACCCUGGAAAUUUCAUUAAGAAGUCCAUAAUCCCUGGACACAUAUGGAAUUAUGACACCCCUCAUCCUUCCCUGUGUCAAAAUCCUCCAAGCCUCAGCUACCUUAAGAAGUUGUUUAUAAUAGAUCUGAGAGUUUACAUCUUCUUAAUGCUACCAUAUAGGGUAUUUGCAGCUGGAUAUAUUUGACUGAAAUAGUGCAUUUUUUAUGGUGAUCAGGCCUUGAUUAAAAAAUAUUUUUUGUGUCAGACACUUUCUGCCACUGUCUGCCAUAAAUCAGUUUGUCACAUA